rnacentral:rRNA from 1 species
GAUGAACGCUGGCGGCGUGCCUAAUACAUGCAAGUCGAGCGAACAGACGAGGAGCUUGCUCCUCUGACGUUAGCGGCGGACGGGUGAGUAACACGUGGAUAACCUACCUAUAAGACUGGGAUAACUUCGGGAAACCGGAGCUAAUACCGGAUAAUAUAUUGAACCGCAUGGUUCAAUAGUGAAAGACGGUUUUGCUGUCACUUAUAGAUGGAUCCGCGCCGCAUUAGCUAGUUGGUAAGGUAACGGCUUACCAAGGCAACGAUGCGUAGCCGACCUGAGAGGGGGCGCGGCCACACUGAAACUGAGCCCGGCCCCAGCCUCCAACGGGGGGCACAAGGAGGGAAUCUUCCGAAAGGGGCGAAAGCCUUACGGCGCACCGCCGCGGGAGUGAUGAAGGUCUCCGGAUCGAAAAACUCUUUUAUUGGGAAAAAAAAAAUGUGAAAUAAACUCGGCCCUUCUGGACGGUACCUAAUAAAAAACCCACGGCUAACUCCGUC